AGAGUUUGAUCCUGGCUCAGCCUGAACGCUGGCGGCGUGGCUAAGACAUGCAAGUCGUACGGUGUAGCAAUACACAGUGGCGAACGGGUGAGUAAUGAAUCGCUAAUGUACCCCGGACUCUGGGAUAGCUGCCCGAAAGGGCAGGUAAUACCAGAUGAUAUAUCCUAACCGCAUGGUUGGGAUCUCAAAGGUCCGCCGGUCUGGGAGCAGGCGAUUUUGUAUCAGCUAGUUGGUGAGGUAACGGCUCACCAAGGCGAUGACGCAUAGCCGGACUGAGAGGUUGGCCGGCCACAUUGGGACUGAGACACUGCCCAGACUCCUACGGGGGGCUGCAGUAACGAAUCUUCCGCAAUGCACGAAAGUGUGACGGAGCGACGCCGCGUGUGGGACGAAGCCCUUCGGGGUGUAAACCACUGUCAGAGGAUAGAAAGUUCUGAUCAUCCUCAGAGGAAGGCACGGCUAACUCUGUGCCAGCAGCCGCGGUAAGACAGAGGUGCCAAGCGUUAGGCGGAAUCACUGGGCUUAAAGCGUGUGUAGGUGGAUCUGUAAGUACCUUGUGAAAUCCCACGGCUUAACCGUGGAACUGCUCGGUAUACUGCGGAUCUUGAGCCAACUAGGGGUUACCGGAACAAAUGGUGGAGCGGUGAAAUGCGUAGAUAUCAUUUGGAACGCCAAUGGUGAAAACAGGUAACUGGGGUUGUGCUGACACUGAGACACGAAAGCCAGGGGAGCAAACGGGAUUAGAUACCCCCGUAGUCC
rnacentral:rRNA from 1 species